ACUCAAAUGAAUAGACGGGGGCCCGCACAAGCGGUGGAGCAUGUGGUUCAAUUCGACGCAACGCGAAGAACCUUACCUGGGCUCGAAGCGCAGUGGAAUCCGGUGGAAACAUCGGCGCCCUCACGGGCCGCUGCGGAGGUGCUGCAUGGCUGUCGUCAGCUCGUGUCGUGAGAUGUUGGGUUAAGUCCCGCAACGAGCGCAACCCUUAUCCCUAGUUGCCAGCGAGUAAUGUCGGGCACUCUAGUGAAACCGCCCCGGAUAACGGGGAGGAAGGUGGGGAUGACGUCAAGUCCUCAUGGCCUUUAUGUCCAGGGCUACACACGUGCUACAAUGGUCGGUACAAACCGUCGCAAACCUGCGAAGGGGAGCUAAUCGGAAAAAGCCGGCCUCAGUUCGGAUUGGAGUCUGCAAUUCGACUCCAUGAAGCUGGAAUCGCUAGUAAUCGCGGAUCAGAACGCCGCGGUGAAUACGUUCCCGGGCCUUGCACACACCGCCCGU
rnacentral:rRNA from 1 species